GGGAGUGAAAUAGAACCUGAAACCCUGCACUUACAAGCUGUGGAAGCACAUUUCUUGUGUGACAGCGUACUUUUUGUAGAACGGGCCAACGAGUUACGUUAAGUAGCAAGGUUAAGCACUUAAGGUGUGGAGCCGUAGCGAAAGCGAGUUUUAACUGAGCGUUCAGUUACUUGACGUAGACCCGAAACCGGGCGACCUACCCAUG
rnacentral:rRNA from 1 species